rnacentral:lncRNA from 1 species
GCAACAUAAAGCAGUGUCUAGCAGUUGUGAUUGUAAAUGCAUAAAAAAUGGAAAAAAAAAAUACAUGCAACAUGGACAGAGACAAAUGAGACAAUUCCUUUAGAGACUUUAUUCCGAUGGAAUUUCGAACAAAAAAUCAUAACAAAUUUGAUAUAGCUUUUAGAAAAUUCAUACAAUAGCGUAUAUAUAAAAGAAAUUGCAACUCAAAGGAAUAAUUAAGCAGCAACAAUAAUGAUUAAUAACUCCCCUACUCCAUAACUAAUUCCUGUUUAAUUAAUGAAAAUUAUUAUUUGGUAUAAUUAUAAUAUUGUUAAUGUUAUGAUCUAAUCUAAAUAAUAAAUUUGAGCUGGAAUUUUUAAAAAUAAUAAAAAAUGGCAAAAAUAAUUAUUCAAUUGAAGUUACAAUCAUAUAAUUGUUGAGAGAUGAUCGCUCAUCUGGGAGAAAUCUUUGAAGUGUCAUCUUCAAAGAGGUUGAUCCAAUCUCUCAACAACUCCUGGGGACAAUACUUUCUAUUGUUGAGAGAUCACAUUGACAUCCCCGACGACAGUUCGAAUACUUCUCCAAAAGGAGUUAAUCCAUCCUCAACAAUAUUGAAUAACCUUUUUGGAAGGGAGUGUAAGAUUUUAGCCCAAUUAUGUAUAUAGACCUAAUUGUGCUAAUUAAAGUACAUAGGGAUUAAAAGAUAAUUUCACACACAAAACAUGAAUUGAAUCCAUCAACCUAACAAUGAUGAAUCAUGUGGAUGGACAUUGAAGGACGAUCAAAAGUGGCUAGAUCACAUGCAAUAUCAUGCACAGAAAGUUCAGUUAACCAAUCAAGUUGCUUUGCUUCCACCCAAAACCUUGUGAAAGGAAGCAAAAAAUUAAAAUAAAAAAUAAAAAAAUAAACAUAUGUUAACAUCAGCAACAUGAUUCAAGGUUGCUGAAAAUGAGGGCUUUAGAUCACAGGGUGAACCAACAACGGGGUCUCUUACGGUUUUCUGGUUUGGUCAUUGACACCCAUUUCCAGGACACAAGCUAUAACUCUUUUUUGUUUCCCUUUGGGAAGGAAAAACAGCGAUGUAGAAAAGUGAUGAAAACUGGACUAUUGGACUGGUUUCAGUGCACUAGUACGUGUGUGUGUAUAUAUACAAUCACUUUAAAUGUUAGCACCGGCAAUUAGACAAUGAUCA